GUGUGAAGCAAUGUCUUUGGUGUGACGAAAAUAAACAUAGGUGUUUUUUGGAUCGUGUCAACUGAUGAAUUCUGCUGAACUUAAAUAUUUCAUCCAAUUUGGUGAUCUGAAGCUGUGUUUCGAAGAUGAAAAGAAAUCAGUCAUUGACAUGUGAUACAUUAAUUUACAUUUAGCCCCGUUUGUAAAGUUGUUCUCGGGCUCGAAUCUCAAGCAAGUUUGUUGUUGCUGAGAAAAAUGCAUGGUAAGGACAUUUCUUUGAGGAAAGCAUUGUCAUGGAUUUUGCGCCAUGGUGCAGUUAAAGAAGGGCUAGCCAUUACUGAAGAUGGUUUUGUGGCAGUGGAGGAGAUUCUGAGCCAUAAAUCAUUUAGAAACUAUCAGCUAUCAGAUAUACAACGUGUCGUGGCAGAAAAUGAAAAGCAGAGAUUUGCAUUACGAACAGAUACUGAGACAGGGACACUUUACAUUAGAGCUAAUCAAGGUCAUUCAAUACAGGCCAUACAGAAAUUGGAUCUUGAUCCAAUACUAGAAUCUGCAAACACUCCUGUGGUUAUACAUGGAACAUACAAGAAGCACUGGGAAAAGAUUAAGCAUGAAGGUCUAAGUCGCAUGUCAAGAAUGCACAUUCAUUUUGCCCCUGGUGAGCCUGGCAAGGAAGGAGUUAUAAGUGGCAUGCGUAAAUCAGCUGAUUUGUAUAUCUACAUUGAUAUGCCAAAAGCUCUUGCAGAUGGUUUGAAAUUCUACAGAUCCUCAAAUAAUGUUAUACUGAGCCCAGGAAAUGACAGUGGGUUGAUACUGCCAAAAUACUUCAGAAAGGUUACUGAUAAACAUGGAAGAGAAUUAGAAAAAUGAAAAUUUCAUUUUGAGUGUGACUCAACGAAUACAGCAAACAUGUAAAUAUGUUUCUCAGAUCUGUACAGACAGAGAAGAAAGGAGGAUCCCAAGCUUCUAACUUCCCCUCCUUGGAUCCACAUACCACCAAAUGAUGAACUGGAUUGAUGGCACAU